UAAGGAAUAUUGGUCAAUGGGGGCAACCCUGAACCAGCCAUGCCGCGUGCAGGAAGACGGCCCUACGGGUUGUAAACUGCUUUUAUACGGGAAUAAACCCCGGAUCGUGAUCCGGGUUGAAUGUACUGUAAGAAUAAGGAUCGGCUAACUCCGUGCCAGCAGCCGCGGUAAUACGGAGGAUCCAAGCGUUAUCCGGAUUUAUUGGGUUUAAAGGGUGCGUAGGCGGCCUGUUAAGUCAGGGGUGAAAGACGGUGGCUCAACCAUCGCAGUGCCCUUGAUACUGAUGGGCUUGAUUACACUUGAGGUAGGCGGAAUGUGACAAGUAGCGGUGAAAUGCAUAGAUAUGUCACAGAACACCGAUUGCGAAGGCAGCUUACUAAGGUGUUAAUGACGCUGAGGCACGAAAGCGUGGGGAUCAAACA
rnacentral:rRNA from 1 species